rnacentral:rRNA from 1 species
AGCGAACGCUGGCGGCAGGCCUAACACAUGCAAGUCGAACGAAGUCUUCGGACUUAGUGGCGGCCGGGUGAGUAACACGUGGGAACGUACCUUUUGGUUCGGAACAACUCAGGGAAACUUGAGCUAAUACCGGAUGAGCCCUUAGGGGGAAAGAUUUAUCGCCGAAAGAGCGGCCCGCGUUAGAUUAGCUAGUUGGUGAGGUAAAGGCUCACCAAGGCUACGGUCUAUAGCUGGUCCGAGAGGAUGAUCAGCCACACUGGGACUGAGACACGGCCCAGACUCCUACGGGAGGCAGCAGUGGGGAAUCUUGCGCAAUGGGCGAAAGCCUGACGCAGCCAUGCCGCGUGAAUGAUGAAGGUUUUAGGAUUGUAAAAUUCUUUUACCAGGGACGAUAAUGACGGUACCUGGAGAAAAAGCCCCGGCUAACUUCGUGCCAGCAGCCGCAGUAAGAC